rnacentral:rRNA from 1 species
CUACAGGCUUAACACAUGCAAGUCGAGGGGCAGCAUGGUCUUAGCUUGCUAAGGCCGAUGGCGACCGGCGCACGGGUGAGUAACACGUAUCCAACCUGCCGUCUACUCUUGGACAGCCUUCUGAAAGGAAGAUUAAUACAAGAUGGCAUCAUGAGUCCGCAUGUUCACAUGAUUAAAGGUAUUCCGGUAGACGAUGGGGAUGCGUUCCAUUAGAUAGUAGGCGGGGUAACGGCCCACCUAGUCUUCGAUGGAUAGGGGUUCUGAGAGGAAGGUCCCCCACAUUGGAACUGAGACACGGUCCAAACUCCUACGGGAGGCAGCAGUGAGGAAUAUUGGUCAAUGGGCGAGAGCCUGAACCAGCCAAGUAGCGUGAAGGAUGACUGCCCUAUGGGUUGUAAACUUCUUUUAUAAAGGAAUAAAGUCGGGUAUGGAUACCCGUUUGCAUGUACUUUAUGAAUAAGGAUCGGCUAACUCCGUGCCAGCAGCCGCGGUAAUACGGAGGAUCCGAGCGUUAUCCGGAUUUAUUGGGUUUAAAGGGAGCGUAGAUGGAUGUUUAAGUCAGUUGUGAAAGUUUGCGGCUCAACCGUAAAAUUGCAGUUGAUACUGGAUAUCUUGAGUGCAGUUGAGGCAGGCGGAAUUCGUGGUGUAGCGGUGAAAUGCUUAGAUAUCACGAAGAACUCCGAUUGCGAAGGCAGCCUGCUAAGCUGCAACUGACAUUGAGGCUCGAAAGUGUGGGUAUCAAACAGGAUUAGAUACCCUGGUAGUCCACACGGUAAACGAUGAAUACUCGCUGUUUGCGAUAUACUGCAAGCGGCCAAGCGAAAGCGUUAAGUAUUCCACCUGGGGAGUACGCCGGCAACGGUGAAACUCAAAGGAAUUGACGGGGGCCCGCACAAGCGGAGGAACAUGUGGUUUAAUUCGAUGAUACGCGAGGAACCUUACCCGGGCUUAAAUUGCAGAUGAAUUACGGUGAAAGCCGUAAGCCGCAAGGCAUCUGUGAAGGUGCUGCAUGGUUGUCGUCAGCUCGUGCCGUGAGGUGUCGGCUUAAGUGUCAUAACGAGCGCAACCCUUGUUGUCAGUUACUAACAGGUUCCGCUGAGGACUCUGACAAGACUGCCAUCGUAAGAUGUGGGGAAGGUGGGGAUGACGUCAAAUCAGCACGGCCCUUACGUCCGGGGCUACACACGUGUUACAAUGGGGGGUACAGAGGGCCGCUACCACGCGAGUGGAUGCCAAUCCCCAAAACCUCUCUCAGUUCGGACUGGAGUCUGCAACCCGACUCCACGAAGCUGGAUUCGCUAGUAAUCGCGCAUCAGCCACGGCGCGGUGAAUACGUUCCCGGGCCUUGUACACACCGCCCGUCAAGCCAUGGGAGCCGGGGGUACCUGAAGUGCGUAACCGCGAGGAGCGCCCUAGGGUAAAACUGGUGACUGGGGCU